UACGUAGGGGGCAAGCGUUGUCCGGAAUUAUUGGGCGUAAAGCGUGCGCAGGCGGUUCGCUAAGACAGAUGUGAAAACCGUCCCCGGGCUUAACCUGGGAACUGCAUUUGUGACUGGCGGGCUAGAGUAUGGCAGAGGGGGGUAGAAUUCCACGUGUAGCAGUGAAAUGCGUAGAGAUGUGGAGGAAUACCGAUGGCGAAGGCAGCCCCCUGGGCCAAUACUGACGCUCAUGCACGAAAGCGUGGGGAGCAAACAGG
rnacentral:rRNA from 1 species